GAUGAACGCUGGCGGCGUGCCUAAUACAUGCAAGUCGAGCGAACAGACGAGGAGCUUGCUCCUCUGACGUUAGCGGCGGACGGGUGAGUAACACGUGGAUAACCUACCUAUAAGACUGGGAUAACUUCGGGAAACCGGAGCUAAUACCGGAUAAUAUAUUGAACCGCAUGGUUCAAUAGUGAAAGACGGUUUUGCUGUCACUUAUAGAUGGAUCCGCGCCGCAUUAGCUAGUUGGUAAGGUAACGGCUUACCAAGGCGACGAUGCGUAGCCGACCUGAGAGGGUGAUCGGCCACACUGGAACUGAGACACGGUCCAGACUCCUACGGGAGGCAGCAGUAGGGAAUCUUCCGCAAUGGGCGAAAGCCUGACGGAGCAACGCCGCGUGAGUGAUGAAGGUCUUCGGAUCGUAAAACUCUGUUAUUAGGGAAGAACAUAUGUGUAAGUAACUGUGCACAUCUUGACGGUACCUAAUCAGAAAGCCACGGCUAACUACGUG
rnacentral:rRNA from 1 species